rnacentral:rRNA from 1 species
UACGAAGGGUGCAAACGUUGCUCGGAAUUAUUGGGCGUAAAGCGCACGUAGGCGGCAUAGCAAGUCGGAUGUGAAAUCCCUCGGCUCAACCAAGGAAGUGCAUCCGAAACUGCUGUGCUUGAGUACGAAAGAGGAUCGCGGAAUUCCCGGUGUAGAGGUGAAAUGCGCAGAUAUCGGGGGGAACACCCGUGGCGAAGGCGGCCGGCUGGGCCGGACCUGACGCUGAGGCGCGAAGGCGUGGGGAGCGAACGGG